UACGUAGGUGGCGAGCGUUGUCCGGAAUUACUGGGUGUAAAGCGCGUGUAGGCGGGAGGCCAAGUCUGUGGUGAAAUCGCUCGGCUUAACUGGGCGGGGUCCAUGGAAACUGGUCACCUGGAGGUCGGUAGAGGCAAGUGGAAUUCCCGGUGUAGUGGUGAAAUGCGUAGAUAUCUGGAGGAACACCGGUGGCGAAGGCGGCAUCCUGGACCAACACUGACACUGAGGAGCGAAAGCCAGGGGAGCAAACGGG
rnacentral:rRNA from 1 species